GGCAGUCUCUCUGCCGAUAGGGAUCUGGGCCGUCCCGGAUCCCACUCUCACUUGUUUUGGAGUUUUUUUUUUCUCUCUCGCGUGGGACGAGCUCCGAUCAUUUCAGAACGGUUCUCUUGUCUCCUUUGCAUUGUGAAAAACAAGUGGAGCGGCUAAGCAGCGGCUUGUCUACGUUCCUUCUCUGCUAUUGCUGAGCGGCUGAGCGAUCAGCCACUAAGUGGAACUGAGCUGAUCGAGGCGAUUCAAUCUGAAGAUUGCGUCUCCAGCAAGAAUCAAGUCCAGUGUUGAAGCGGAAGGUGAUUGUUCCUUCGAAUUCAAGCAAUAGCGUGGAUUUGGAGACGGUGUUGUUGACUCCAGUCAACCAUAGUUCGGCCAUAGACUCGGUGAUAUUUGACCACCCAUAUCUAGUUUGGAGAUCGAUGACAAAACAACGUCGUAGUUGGUCACUUUUGUUAUAAGCGUUACCUUGCAUUUGAUUGAUGCACGACAUAUGUGUGGUUUCGUCCCUUGGCCAGGGAUCAACGCACACGGAAGGAAUUGAAAAAGGCAGAUCACGAUGAUUUAAGACAUCCAAAAAAUUGAUAAUCCAUUGAGUUCCAAGUCAUGACACCCAACUAGAUUUUUUGAAUGAGCCUAGAGAUAGAAAGAAAGCACAGCAAGACGGAACGACGUUUUCUAGGGUUAGAGAAAUUGUGCUCGCUUAGUAAGUAAGUACUGUAGUUUAACCUCUUACUUCAUUGGAUUAUUGAGCAUCCUUGCACAAUUCACCCACUCAUCCACAUGAGUUCACUUAUAGCGCAUAGUGUAGUACACUAUAGUCUGAUUCAAGAUUAGCCAUAAUUGAGAUGAGAGUGCAGUCUCUUCCAGUAAAUUUUGCAAGAAGUUAGUGGAAAAGAGGGUUGCUGGAACAGUCAGAACCAAGACUGGACCUCCAUCAGCAACUUCCGCAUGAUAAAGGAACCUAAUAAUUCCAGAAAGGAUGGGAAUUGAAGAACCAGAAGACUGCUAGAAGACAUUGGGAUUCUAGUAGGCGAUGGAGGAAGCAGCCUAUAGAGGUAAGCACUCUUCUCGACUCUGUUAUCAGUAAAAGAUCACAAUGUGAAUUCAAGUUUUUAGGAAGAUUUAUGUUUAAGAAGUACUCAAUUAGGGUUUGGUAUGAAGUAUUGGAUGUUGGAUGAUAAAUCUAAUCAAGGAUGAAAUUUUGAAUUAGAUGAGAAAUUAUUCAUGGAUGAAAAGUCAUUCACGGAUGACAAAUUAUACUUGAAUGAAUUUUUGUGUUGAUAGAUAGAAAUUAAUCAAAUAAAUAAAUAAUUAAGGAUUAAAAAAUAUAUAACUAAUUAAGGAUUAAAAAAUAUAAUUUCUUAUACAUGCACAUGGUGAAUAGGUUGCUAUUGUAAGAGAGAGUAAAUAGUAGAGGUUCCUUAACAACAUGGGAUUUUAAGAAGAUUUAAAGAUUAUUUAAUGGAGAAGUAAAUAAGAGUUAUAAUGUUUGUAAUUAACAUAAUUAAUUUGUUAGUUGUGAACUAAAAUAAACUUCUAACUAGUGGAGGUUUAUUUUAGCUUACAUUUUGGUGCUUUUGUCAAGGAGUAGUAAUUGUGAGAUUGCUUCAAAAAAAUUGUAGUGUUUUUUGUUUUCAAUUGUUAUUUAGAUUAUUAUUGUAUUUGUGUUUUUAUACAAAAAAUAAUGUCUUUUAAAGACGAACUUCUAUGGGGAAUAAUUGUGUGCUUGAAGAUAAGAUGCACUUGCUAUGGUAAAAGAAUUCUUGAUCCAUCUUAUUUUAACAAAUAGCUCUAAAUGAUUUGCCAUGUAUAAGUCCAAAAUAAUACACCAAAAUUCUAUUUACUUAAUUUUUGGUGUUUUGACAUAAUAAAUUGUUAUUUAUUUGUUAAUUGUGAAAAAUUAGAGAAUGUUGGAAAAAAUAAAGUUAGUUGUAGUUGAGAUAUGGUAGAAAAUGAUAGAAAUUUAUUCCACUUUUGAAGCCACAAGUGAUUGUGAAGGAAGAAAAUGAAGAAUUAUUGAGUUCUUGAAUCCUCAAGUAAUGGUGAAGAAAGAAGAUGGAGAGCUAUUUUGCUCUUCAACCAUUAUUUUCACAAUAAUAAAUCAAGUCGUUUUCUAGAGAA